rnacentral:rRNA from 1 species
UACCAGCACCCCGAGUGGUCGGGACGAUUAUUGGGCCUAAAGCAUCCGUAGCCGGUUUUACAAGUCCUCCGUUAAAUCCAGCUGCUUAACAGAUGGGCUGCGGAGGAUACUAUAAGACUAGGAGGCAGGAGAGGCAAGCGGUACUCAGUGGGUAGGGGUAAAAUCCGUUGAUCCAUUGAGGACCACCAGUGGCGAAGGCGGCUUGCCAGAACGCGCUCGACGGUGAGGGAUGAAAGCUGGGGGAGUAAACCGG